GCCGGGCCCCGUGGCUGGUGCCUGUGGUCCCAGCUCCCGGGGAGGCUGAGGCCAGCAGAUCGCUUUAGCUCGGAGUUGCGGGCUGUGCUGAUUGGGUGUCCGCAUUAAUAUGGUGAUCCCGGGGGAGCUUUGGGUCCCCAUGUUGCCUAAGGAGGGGUGAACCGGCCCAGGUCGGAAACAGCGCAGGUCAAAACUCCGGUGCCGAUCGGUAGUGGGAUCGCGCCUGUGAAUAGCCCCUGUAGCGUAACCUGGGUGAGACAUGGUUGCUUUUU
rnacentral:SRP_RNA from 1 species